GAGGAGGGCGAGCAGCCGGAGGGAUUUCUGCGGGAGAGGUUUAGGCACACCAGACUGUACAGAUGGCCAGAGCCAGAGUCUCUCAGGAAGAGACCACGGCAUAUGUUGUGGCUCGUGUCUUCAAACUUCUGCCCUGGACAGACUAUACUUACAGAGACAGAAGAAGACAGAGUUAUGACUGAAGCCUUGCCUGCAGCUGGGAUCCAAUUUUCAUGCACAGCUCCACACAGGUGACCAUCCUCCAGCGGCUCGGAAGCCAGGAAGAGUG